GGGGGAUAACGCAGCAAAAGCUGUGCUAAUACCGCAUACGAUCUACGGAUGAAAGCAGGGGAUCGCAAGACCUUGCGCGAGUGGAGCGGCGCGCAUGGCAUAUUAUGUACUUGGUGAGGUAAAGGCUCACCACCCCUUCGAUCAGUAGCUGGUCAGAUAAGACGACCACCCACACUGCUACUGAUACACAGCCCACACUCCUACUGCAGGCAGCAGUGGGGAAUUUUGUACAAUGGUCGAAACCCUGAUCCACCCAUGCCGCCUGCAGGAUGAAGACCUUCCGGUUGUAAACUGCUUUUGUACAGAACGAAACGGCCUUUUCUACUAAAGAGGGCUAAAGACUGUACCAUAAGAAUAGACCCCCGCUCUCUACGUGCCCGCACCCGCGGUAAUACAUAAGGUGCACGCGUUAAUCAUAAUUACUGGUCGUAAAGCGUGCACACGCGGUUAUGUAACACGGUUGAGAAAUCCCCGGUCUCAUCCUGCGAACUGCUUCUGUGACUGCAUAUCUAGAGUACUGUAGAGGGGGAUGGAGUUCCGCGUGUAGCAGUGAAGUGCAUAUAUGUGCCAAAGAACACCUAUGGCGAACGCAAUCCCCUGGACCUGUACU
rnacentral:rRNA from 1 species